rnacentral:rRNA from 1 species
UACGAAGGGGGCUAGCGUUGCUCGGAAUGACUGGGCGUAAAGGGCGCGUAGGCGGAUGGCAUAGUCAGAUGUGAAAUUCCCGGGCUUAACCUGGGGACUGCAUUUGAUACGUGUCGUCUUGAGUUCGGAAGAGGGUCGUGGAAUUCCCAGUGUAGAGGUGAAAUUCGUAGAUAUUGGGAAGAACACCAGUGGCGAAGGCGGCUCUCUGGACCGUAACUGACGCUGAGGCGCGAAAGCGUGGGGAGCAAACAGG